rnacentral:rRNA from 1 species
CAGCCGUAAAACUAUGCGCGUUAGGUGUAUCGGUGACCACGAGUCACCGAGGUGCCGAAGGGAAACCGUGAAACGUCGCCGCCUGGGAAGUACGGUCGCAAGGCUGAAAACUUUAAAGGAAUUGGGCGGGGGAGCACCACAACGGGUGGAGCCCUGCGGUUUAAUUGGACUCAACGCCGGGAAGCUCACCGGAUAAGACAGCGGAAUGAUUGCCGGGCUGAAGACUCUGCAUGACUAGCUGAGAGGAGUGCAUGGCGUAGACGUC